rnacentral:rRNA from 1 species
AUUGAACGCUGGCGGAAUGCUUUACACAUGCAAGUCGAACGGUAGAGGGGGCAACCCCUCGAGAGUGGCGAACGGGUGAGUAAUAUAUCGGAACGUGCCCAGUCGUGGGGGAUAACGUAGCGAAAGUUACGCUAAUACCGCAUACGAUCUACGGAUGAAAGCGGGGGACUCGCAAGAGCCUCGCGCGAUUGGAGCGGCCGAUAUCAGAUUAGGUAGUUGGUGGGGUAAAGGCUCACCAAGCCAACGAUCUGUAGCUGGUCUGAGAGGACGACCAGCCACACUGGAACUGAGACACGGUCCAGACUCCUACGGGAGGCAGCAGUGGGGGAAUUUUGGACAAUGGACGCAAGUCUGAUCCAGCCAUUCCGCGUGCAGGAUGAAGGCCCUCGGGUUGUAAACUGCUUUUGUACGGAACGAAAAGGUUUCUCUUAAUACGAGGAGCUCAUGACGGUACCGUAAGAAUAAGCACCGGCUAACUACGUG